rnacentral:misc_RNA from 1 species
GUUCAAGUACGAGGACGGCAUCGUCACCGUCGAUGUGCCGUGGACCGGGUCGUCGAAGAAGCUGUCGCGUGUCGAGUACUUUUACUAGUGUGGUUCAAUGCUGGAAAGAGACUAAGACAAAAUUUUCGGUCUUUUUAUUUUUUAUUUUACUUAGGUCGGAAAAUAAUUUGAGUGUGUGAGAGCUUUGUAAGUUGCUUAGCUCUGGUUGGUUUCGGUUGGAUUAUCAUUGUUACGGGUUUUAAACG